GACGAACGCUGGCGGCGUGCUUAACACAUGCAAGUCGAACGGAAAGGCCCCCACUUUUUUGGUGGGGGUGCUCGAGCGGCGAACGGGUGAGUAACACGUGGGUGAUCUGCCCUGCACUUCGGGAUAAGCUGGGGCAACUGGGUCUAAUACCGGAAAGGAUCAUGGUUUAGUGUCUCAUGGUGGAAAAAUUAUUGCUUUGGUGCAGGAUGAGCCCGCGGUGUAUUAGCUUGUUGGUGGGGUAAUGGCCUACCAAGGCGUCGACGGGUAGCCGGCCUGAGAGGGUGGACGGCCGGGUUGGGAAUGAGGUACAACCCCGACUCCGACGGGAGGGAGGGGUAGGGAAUGUUGCGGAAUGGAGGCAGGCCUGAUACAGCGGCGCCGCGUGAGGAAUGACGGCCUUCGGGUAAUAAACUCCUUUCGUUAGGAACGAGGCCGGACCUUUUUUGGGUGUGAUGGCGGUACCUUUGUUAAGAAGCACCGGCUAACUACGUG
rnacentral:rRNA from 1 species